AAACGUUAAACUCUGUGAGUUGAACGUACACAUCACAAAGUAGUUUCUGAGAAUGUUUCUCUCUGGUUUUUAUAAGAAGAUAUUUCCUUUUCUACCAUAGGCCUCAAAGAGGUCAAAAUAUCCACUUGCAGAUAUAACAAAUAGAGUGUUUCAAAUCUGUUCUAUCACAAGAAUGUUGAUCUCUGUGAGUUGAAUGCAAACAUCACAAAGCAGUUUCUGAGAAUGCUUCUGUCUAGUUUCUAUGUGAAGAUAUUUCCUUUUCUACCAUAAGCUAAAAAGCCCUCAAAAUACACACUUGUAAAUUCUACAAAAUAGUGUUUCAAAUCUGCACUAUCAAAAGAAAGGUUAAACUCUGUGAGUU
rnacentral:lncRNA from 1 species